rnacentral:tRNA from 1 species
GGGAGUGUAACUCAGCUUGGUUAGAGUGCUUUCCUUACAAGAAAGAUGUCGCUGGUUCGAGCCCAGCCAUUCCCA